UACGUAGGGGGCAAGCGUUGUCCGGAUUUAUUGGGCGUAAAGAGCGUGUAGGCGGCUUUACAGGUCCGUUGUGAAAACUCGAGGCUCAACCUCGAGACGCCGGUGGAAACCGUAAAGCUAGAGUCCGGAAGAGGAGAGUGGAAUUCCUGGUGUAGCGGUGAAAUGCGCAGAUAUCAGGAGGAACACCGGUGGCGAAGGCGGACUCUGGCGGGAUACUGACGCUGAGGACGAAGACGUGGGGAGCGAACAGGAUUAGAACCUAC
rnacentral:rRNA from 1 species